AGAGUUUGAUCCUGGCUCAGAUUGAACGCUGGCGGCAGGCUUAACACAUGCAAGUCGAACGGUAACAGGAGAAAGCUUGCUUUCUUGCUGACGAGUGGCGGACGGGUGAGUAAUGCUUGGGAAUCUGGCUUAUGGAGGGGGAUAACUACGGGAAACUGUAGCUAAUACCGCGUAAUAUCUUCGGAUUAAAGGGUGGGACUUUCGGGCCACCUGCCAUAAGAUGAGCCCAAGUGGGAUUAGGUAGUUGGCGGGGUAAAGGCCUACCAAGCCGACGAUCUCUAGCUGGUCUGAGAGGAUGACCAGCCACACUGGAACUGAGACACGGUCCAGACUCCUACGGGAGGCAGCAGUGGGGAAUAUUGCACAAUGGGGGGAACCCUGAUGCAGCCAUGCCGCGUGAAUGAAGAAGGCCUUCGGGUUGUAAAGUUCUUUCGGUGAUGAGGAAGGUGUUUGUUUUAAUAGAACAAGCAAUUGACGUUAGUCACAGAAGAAGCACCGGCUAACUCCGUGCCAGCAGCCGCGGUAAUACGGAGGGUGCGAGCGUUAAUCGGAAUGACUGGGCGUAAAGGGCACGCAGGCGGUGACUUAAGUGAGAUGUGAAAGCCCCGAGCUUAACUUGGGAAUUGCAUUUCAUACUGGGUCGCUAGAGUAUUUUAGGGAGGGGUAGAAUUCCACGUGUAGCGGUGAAAUGCGUAGAGAUGUGGAGGAAUACCGAAGGCGAAGGCAGCCCCUUGGGAAUAUACUGACGCUCAUGUGCGAAAGCGUGGGGAGCAAACAGGAUUAGAUACCCUGGUAGUCCACGCUGUAAACGCUGUCGAUUUGGGGAUUGGGCUUAGAGCUUGGUGCCCGUAGCUAACGUGAUAAA
rnacentral:rRNA from 1 species